rnacentral:rRNA from 1 species
CCUACGGGUGGCUGCAGUGAGGAAUAUUGGUCAAUGGGCGCUAGCCUGAACCAGCUAAGUAGCGUGAAGGAUGACUGCCCUAUGGUUUGUAAACUUCUUUUAUAUGGGAGUAAAGUGCAGUAUUUAUACUGCUUUGCAUUUACCUUAUGAAUAAGGAUCGGCUAACUCCGUGCCAUCAGCCGCGGUAAUACGGAGGAUCCGAGCGUUAUCCGGAUUUAUUGGGUGUAAAGGGAGCGUAGGCGGGUUGUUAAGUCAGUUGUGAAAGUUUGCGGCUCAACCGUAAAAUUGCAGUUGAUACUGGCAGCCUAGAGUACAGUAGAGGUAGGCGGAAUUCGUGGUGGAGCAGUGAAAUGCUUAGAUAUCACGAAGAACUCCGAUUGCGAAGGCAGCCUGCUGGACUGUAACUGACGCUGAUGCUCGAAAGUAUGGGUAUCAAACAGGAUUAGAUACCCUUGUAGUC